GGAUAAGCGGAAGAAAUUCCGUCUAAUACCGCGUAACAACGUUGGGAGGCAUCUCCCGAUGUUUAAAGAUUUAUCGGCUGCGGAUGGCCAUGCGGCGCAUUAGCUAGUCGGCGGGGUAACGGCCCACCGAGGCGACGAUGCGUAGGGGUUCUGAGAGGAAGGUCCCCCACACUGGUACUGAGACACGGACCAGACUCCUACGGGAGGCAGCAGUGAGGAAUAUUGGUCAAUGGCCGAGAGGCUGAACCAGCCAAGUCGCGUGAGGGAUGACGGCCCUACGGGUUGUAAACCUCUUUUGUCGGGGAGCAAAGGGAGUCACGUGUGACUCAUUGAGAGUACCCGAAGAAAAAGCAUCGGCUAACUCCGUGCCAGCAGCCGCGGUAAUACGGAGGAUGCGAGCGUUAUCCGGAUUUAUUGGGUUUAAAGGGUGCGCAGGCGGAGGUGCAAGUCAGCGGUCAAAUUGCGGGGCUCAACCCCGUACUGCCGUUGAAACUGCAUCCCUUGAGUGCGCGAGAAGUAUGCGGAAUGCGUGGUGUAGCGGUGAAAUGCAUAGAUAUCACGCAGAACUCCGAUUGCGAAGGCAGCAUACCGGCGCGCAACUGACGCUCAUGCACGAAAGCGUGGGUAUCGAACAGGAUUAGAUACCCUGGUAGUCCACGCAGUAAACGAUGAACACUAACUGUUCGGCCAGAAUGAUGGCUGAGU
rnacentral:rRNA from 1 species